AGGAUGGAUUUCUUGGUAUGCCACCAUGUCAUCUGGAACAAACCCAAAUUUCUGGCUUCCUCAUGGGAACUGCACUUUGGGAACCUACAAAUCUGCUACACCUGAUAAAGAUGGUACCACUGGUUAGCCGCUGGAAAGGUGAUUUCAUAAGACCCAUCUUCCAUCAACAAGCCACCACAUUUGUGGAUAUUUUCACCAGUUUACUGCAUGGUACACCCACCAGGAACACCUAUGAGGCAUAGAAAGCAAUCUGCAUCUCUGCUGUUUGCCUGGCCAUUCUCGAUGGUGCUCAACUGCUUCCAUGCAGGAUAUUUUGCAAUACUGUAUGUGGCACCUGACAGGAGCCCACACAUGCCCUUUAUAAU